UACAGAGGUCUCAAGCGUUGUUCGGAUUCAUUGGGCGUAAAGGGUGCGUAGGCGGGCAGGUAAGUCAGUGGUGAAAUCCCCGAGCUCAACUUGGGAAUUGCCGUUGAUACUAUCUGUCUUGAAUAUCGUGGAGGUGAGCGGAAUAUGUCAUGUAGCGGUGAAAUGCUUAGAUAUGACAUAGAACACCCAUUGCGAAGGCAGCUCACUACACGAUAAUUGACGCUGAGGCACGAAAGCGUGGGGAGCAAACAGG
rnacentral:rRNA from 1 species